CCCUAGUAACGGCGAGUGAAGCGGCAACAGCUCAAAUUUGAAAUCUGGCUUCGGCCCGAGUUGUAAUUUGCAGAGGAAGCUUUAGGCGCGGCACUUUCUGAGUCCCCUGGAACGGGGCGCCAUAGAGGGUGAGAGCCCCGUAUAGUUAGAUGCCUAGCCUGUGUAAAGCUCCUUCGACGAGUCGAGUAGUUUGGGAAUGCUGCUCAAAAUGGGAGGUAAAUUUCUUCUAAAGCUAAAUACCGGCCAGAGACCGAUAGCGCACAAGUAGAGUGAUCGAAAGAUGAAAAGCACUUUGAAAAGAGGGUUAAAUAGCACGUGAAAUUGUUGAAAGGGAAGCGCUUGUGACCAGACUUGCGCCGGGCAGAUCAUCCGGUGUUCUCACCGGUGCACUCUGCCCGGCUCAGGCCAGCAUCGGUUCUCGCGGGGGGAUAAAGGCCCUGGGAACGUAGCUCCUCCGGGAGUGUUAUAGCCCGGGGCGUAAUGCCCUCGCGGGGACCGAGGUUCGCGCAUCUGCAAGGAUGCUGGCGUAAUGGUCAUCAGCGACCCGUCUUGAAACACGGACCAAGGAGUCAAGGUUUUGCGCGAGUGUUUGGGUGUAAAACCCGCACGCGUAAUGAAAGUGAACGUAGGUGAGAGCUUCGGCGCAUCAUCGACCGAUCCUGAUGUUUUCGGAUGGAUUUGAGUAGGAGCGUUAAGCCUUGGACCCGAAAGAUGGUGAACUAUGCUUGGAUAGGGUGAAGCCAGAGGAAACUCUGGUGGAGGCUCGCAGCGGUUCUGACGUGCAAAUCGAUCGUCAAAUCUGAGCAUGGGGGC
rnacentral:rRNA from 1 species